CCAUAAAAGAGAAGUUGGAGAGAUGGAAGAUGCAAUGAAAUCUUUAGAGAACAAAAACCUUGGAUUUGAAAAGAAAAAUGGACAUCAUUACUACACUGGAUGGGAUGAAAUCUAUGAAGUUCUUUUUCUUGUAUUUCAUGGACUUAAUCGGCAGACAAGGUACCCCCACAUGUUGAGAAUUGAGUGAGGAUCUUGCAAAAUAUGCGAAAGUGUUAGAAGUAGGGGCUAAUGGAUUGGGCUAUGAGCUGCUAAAAGACUUGGCUCUAUCAGGUUUCCAUUAUUGGCUUCAAGGCUCUUUAUUGUAUGCAUUUUCUUAUGAGACAUUUUGGCUCUGUCUUUGUAUUCAAUAUUGAAGUUAAGGUAGUUAGAUGUAUAGUUUAGUGAU